rnacentral:rRNA from 1 species
UUCGACCUCAAAUCAGGUAGGACUACCCGCUGAACUU